ACUCAAAUGAAUUGACGGGGGCCCGCACAAGCGGUGGAGCAUGUGGUUUAAUUCGAUGCAACGCGAAGAACCUUACCACCCCUUGACAUCCUGCGAACUUUCUAGAGAUAGAUUGGUGCCUUCGGGAGCGCAGAGACAGGUGCUGCAUGGCUGUCGUCAGCUCGUGUUGUGAAAUGUUGGGUUAAGUCCCGUAACGAGCGCAACCCUUGUCCUUAGUUGCCAGCGAGUAAAGUCGGGAACUCUAAGGAGACUGCCGGUGACAAACCGGAGGAAGGUGGGGACGACGUCAAGUCAUCAUGGCCCUUACGGGGUGGGCUACACACGUGCUACAAUGGCCGGUACAGACGGUUGCAAACCCGCGAGGGGGAGCCAAUCCGAGAAAACCGGUCGUAGUCCGGAUCGCAGUCUGCAACUCGACUGCGUGAAGUCGGAAUCGCUAGUAAUCGCGGAUCAGAAUGCCGCGGUGAAUACGUUCCCGGGCCUUGUACACACCGCCCGU
rnacentral:rRNA from 1 species